rnacentral:rRNA from 1 species
GACGAACGCUGGCGGCGUGCUUAACACAUGCAAGUCGAACGGAAAGGCCCUGCUUUUGUGGGGUGCUCGAGUGGCGAACGGGUGAGUAACACGUGAGUAACCUGCCCUUGACUUUGGGAUAACUUCAGGAAACUGGGGCUAAUACCGGAUAGGAGCUCCUGCUGCAUGGUGGGGGUUGGAAAGUUUCGGCGGUUGGGGAUGGACUCGCGGCUUAUCAGCUUGUUGGUGGGGUAGUGGCUUACCAAGGCUUUGACGGGUAGCCGGCCUGAGAGGGUGACCGGGCACAGUGGGGCAGGGAGAUGCGCCCGAGACCCUCGGGGGGGACAGGGGGGGGAAAUUUUGCAAAGGGGGGGGGACCGUGAGGGAACCGCGGCGUGGGGGGGAGGGGCCUCUGGGGUUGAAAACCCGUUUGCCUGUGUGAAAGGGUGGGUGAGGGUAAAGGGGGAAAAAAAACACCGUAAAUAUGU